UGUGUCCGAGCACUUAUGGAUGAAUGCAAAGCUUGGUUAUAUGCUAUAACCACUGUAGUUAGUUGAUGCCAAACCUAGAGCGAGAAGUACCAGCAAUGUCAUGAAGGGAUGUCAUCUAAUGGCGUGAAGCCAUUAAGUUAAAGGUUAAAGGAGCAAAGCAUUUCCCCAUGAGCCGUGGGAUAUCUUGAAAUCACCUGUUAACCCUGACCAAUGCAAACAGACUGAAAUGAGCGGUUGGCGGGCUGCGAGAUGGAGCUAGCAUGUGUGCGUCUGUAUUUAAACAAUAGUGAGAGACAAAGAAGGAGGGGAAAAAAGGGGAGAAGUGAGGAGUCCCACGCUGAACCUGUUUCCACCGGCUGGAGAAGAUAAAUGCAUUUCUAAGGGGACAGGGAAUCAAAACUUGCUGGUGAGAAAUAAUCGCACUCGGCUCUCGAUGAUGAAAGAACAGUGCCCGUGGUUUAGAGGAAUGAAAAGCCUCACAGGAGGUUUUGGAGGCCGAAUGAAUAACACAUCAGGGAGGCAUGAGAGGAGUUACAGUGGGGAGAUCCUGCUCAAAAUAACAAUAACUUCAUCGCAGGAGCGUGGAAAUCCAGAUGCAGUUUGGCCUGAACACUGAGCCUUGCAGUGCAUUUAAAUGAACCCGAUUCAUUCUUUUAUGUUAGCUUCCAACUUUAACGCAACUAAAUGUGUGAAUUGUGUUGCUUUAUUUGCGAGUCUUAAACUGUUUCCAGAUGUGCUGUAGCACCCAUUAGUGUACUAAUUGAGAAUGUAAUUAGAUCUGCAAUUACCUAAUCAUAAAUGUGCUAAGAGCUGUUCUGGAUGAUGAUGUACAAACGUUUUCAUCUGUACAUAACACCAUUCAAUGGGUUAUUUUUCAAAAAGUGAUGACGAAAAAACAUUUGAUGGCUACUAAAAAUAGUAUUCUUUUUGCUUGAUGAAGAUUUCGAAAUCUACAACAAAUGGGAGUUGGGACCUUGUCAACAGGUAAAGAUGCAUCAAACUACCUUUCAGUAAGAAAGAUGAUUGCUUAUUUUCCCAUUUUUCUCGUCGUUGUUUCAGCAAGCUUCAUAACAGUUCAUUUUUGCAGAUGUUGACACAUUUAAAAUCAAUCACGAUGAGGAAAUUCUGAGGCGCAUUGAUCUCACUUAACAAGAAUUAACCCAUAGUGAUGAAAAAGGUGGAUAAAAUAUAAAAACCAACAAAUCACAAGUCGGUUUUAGAGUUUGUUUUUAGAAAUUUUAGCUGUGAUAACAACAGUGAUGGGGACACUUCAGAUAUUGAGCAAAAACACCCCACAAGAUUUGGUCUACCACUGACCACACUCUGAUUUCAUUUGAAAUGUGUCCAUAAAACCAGAGAGAGAGAAAGAGGAAGAGAUGAAGCAAGGGAGCGACUUUUAAAAAAAAAAGUAA